rnacentral:rRNA from 1 species
UGGGGAAUUUUGGACAAUGGGCGAAAGCCUGAUCCAGCCAUGCCGCGUGAGUGAAGAAGGCCUUCGGGUUGUAAAGCUCUUUUAGUCGGAAAGAAAGAGUUGCAAUGAAUAAUUGUGAUUUAUGACGGUACCGACAGAAAAAGCACCGGCUAACUACGUGCCAGCAGCCGCGGUAAUACGUAGGGUGCGAGCGUUAAUCGGAAUUACUGGGCGUAAAGGGUGCGCAGGCGGUCUUGCAAGUCAGAUGUGAAAGCCCCGGGCUUAACCCGGGAAUUGCGUUUGAAACUACAAGGCUAGAGUGCAGCAGAGGGGAGUGGAAUUCCAUGUGUAGCAGUGAAAUGCGUAGAGAUGUGGAAGAACACCGAUGGCGAAGGCAGCUCCCUGGGUUGACACUGACGCUCAUGCACGAAAGCGUGGGGAGCAAACA